rnacentral:rRNA from 1 species
UACGUAGGCAGCAAGCGUUGUUCGGAGUUACUGGGCGUAAAGAGUGCGUAGGCGGUGUCGAAAGUUUGGCGUGAAAUCUCCCGGCUUAACUGGGAGGGUGCGCCGAAAACUGCGAUGCUGGAGUGUGGGAAAGGCAAGCGGAAUUCCUGGUGUAGCGGUGAAAUGCGUAGAUAUCAGGAGGAACACCGGCGGUGUAGACGGCUUGCUAGACCAUAACUGACGCUGAGGCACGAAAGCGUGGGUAGCAAACAG